rnacentral:tRNA from 1 species
GUUGAGUGGUCUUAUUAGAAGGUUAUAAGACUGUCGCUGCUAACGAUGGUUUGAGUAUUGAUUUAUUCAACU